rnacentral:rRNA from 1 species
UACGUAGGGGGCAAGCGUUGUCCGGAAUCAUUGGGCGUAAAGAGCGUGUAGGCGGCUCGAUAAGUCUGCUGUGAAAGUCCAGGGCUCAACCCUGGAAGGCCGGUGGAAACUGUCGGGCUAGAGUCCGGAAGAGGCGAGUGGAAUUCCUGGUGUAGCGGUGAAAUGCGCAGAUAUCAGGAGGAACACCGAUGGCGAAGGCAGGUCUCUGGGCCAUAACUGACGCUGAGAAGCGAAAGCAUGGGGAGCGAACAGG